AAUACAGGUUUUUUACUCUGCCAGCACGGCCCUCAGCAAAUAAUCAAAAGACCCAGAUUCGAAGAUGUAUAAUCUCUGUUUUCUAAAAAUCAAAAAUAUUAUUUUAGGAUUUGUGGCGAAAGAAGCUGGUGAUGAUGAUCUCUGUGAUGUGGGAAGUGUGGGAGCACCUGCAGCAGCUCACACCCAUCACUCAGAAGAAGAAGAAUUGUUGGGUAACAGAGAGAGAGUUAGAGAUGAGCUUCGAUUGUUUUGGCGAAGAAGAAAAGUUGUGAACAGGUAGAGAGAAGUGUGAAAUUUGAGCACAGAGAAUGAGAGAGAGAGAAGGAGAG
rnacentral:misc_RNA from 1 species